AAGCGAGUCUGAAUAGGGCGUACAGUCGCAUGGUCUAGACCCGAAGCCGAGUGAGCUAUCCAUGGGCAGGGUGAAGCGAGGGUAAGACCUCGUGGAGGCCCGAACCCACCUAGGUUGAAAACUGGGGGGAUGACCUGUGGAUAGGGGUGAAAGGCCAAACAAACUCGGUGAUAGCUGGUUCUCCCCGAAAUAGCUUUAGGGCUAGCGUCGCGCGUUCCGCUAUGGGGGUAGAGCACUGAUUGGGCUAGGGGGCUUACCAGCUUACCAACCUCAGUCAAACUCCGAAUCUCAUAGUGCUAGAGCGUGGCAGUCAGACCGUGUGGGAUGAGCUUCACGGUCGAAAGGGAAACAGCCCAGAUCGCCAGCUAAGGCCCCUAAGUGUGUGCUAAGUGGGAAACGAGGUGGGAUCGCAGAAACAGCCAGGAGGUUGGCUUAGAAGCAGCCAUUCCUUGAAAGAGUGCGUAACAGCUCACUGGUCGAGUGGUCCUGCGCGGAAAAUGUAACGGGGCUCAAGCACACCGCCGAAGCUGCGGGAUUCCAUCAACACUCUGACGCCCUGCGUCCAGAGGAUGGGAUCGGUAGGGGAGCGUCGAGCAGCCGGCGAAGCAGCGGCGCAAGCCAGCUGUGGAGGCUGCUCGAGUGAGAAUGCCGGUAUGAGUAGCGAGAGUGGAGUGAGAAUCUCCACCGCCGAAAGUCCAAGGGUUCCUGGGGAAGGCUCGUCCGCCCAGGGUUAGUCGGGACCUAAGGCGAGGCCGAGAGGCGUAGUCGAUGGACAACUGGUUGAUAUUCCAGUACCACCAUGCAAGCGUCCGGACUGAGCGCGACUUGCUAAGGGGAGCCCUUCGGGGCCCUCCGACCCAGUUGCGGGAGGUCAGCAAUGGGAUGACGCGGAAGGGUAGGUGGACCCGGGCGUUGGUUGCCCCGGGGUAAGUGUGUAAGGCGAGGUCCAGGCAAAUCCGGACCUCAUGAAGCCAGAGGCACGAUGCCGAGCCGCAAUAGGCGAAGCCACUGAACGCCCAUGCCGCCGAGAAAACUCUCUAGCGAGUUUGUAUGGUGCCCGUACCCCAAACCGACACAGGUGGACAGGUAGAGAAUACCAAGGCGAGCGAGAUAACUCUGGUUAAGGAACUAGGCAAAAUGGUUCCGUAACUUCGGGAGAAGGAUCGCCCCGGUAAAGUAAAGGAUGUACAUCCGGAGCUUGAGGGGGCUGCAGUGACCAGGCCCGAGCGACUGUUUACUAAAAACACAGCAGCGUGCUAAGUCGCAAGACGCUGUAUACGCUGUGACGCCUGCCCGGUGCCGGAAGGUUAAGAGGGGGGGUUAGCCUAGGCGAAGCUCUGAAUCUAAGCCCCGGUAAACGGCGGCCGUAACUAUAACGGUCCUAAGGUAGCGAAAUUCCUUGUCGGGUAAGUUCCGACCUGCACGAAUGGCGUAACGACUUGGGUACUGUCUCAACCAGAGACUCGGCGAAAUUGCAUUGUGAGUAAAGAUGCUCACUACCUGCGACAGGACGGAAAGACCCCGGAACCUUUACUGCAGCUUGACAUUGAUGUCUGGUAUACACUGUGCAGGAUAGGUGGGAGACAAAGAAGCGGUGCCGCCAGGUACCGUGGAGUCAACCUUGAAAUACCACCCUCUGUAUGGCGGGCACCUAACUUGGGUCCGUAAUCCGGAUCGAGGACAGUGUCUGGCGGGCAGUUUCACUGGGGCGGUGGCCUCCUAAAGAGUAACGGAGGCGCUCAAUGGUUCCCUCAGUCUGGUCGGCAAUCAGACGGCGAGUGCAAUGGCACAAGGGAGCUUGACUGUGAGACUUACAAGUCGAGCAGGGACGAAAGUCGGACAUAGUGAUCCUACCGUGGCACGUGGAAGCGCGGUGGCUUAACGGCUAAAAGGUACUCCGGGGAUAACAGGCUUAUACCCCCCAAGAGUCCAUAUCGACGGGGGUGUUUGGCACCUCGAUGUCGGCUCGUCGCAUCCUGGGGCUGAAGCAGGUCCCAAGGGUCGGGCUGUUCGCCCGUUAAAGCGGCACGCGAGCUGGGUUUAGAACGUCGUGAGACAGUUCGGUCCCUAUCCGCCGCAGGCGCAGGAGACUUGAGGGGAGCUGUCCCUAGUACGAGAGGACCGGGAUGGACGUACCUCUGGUGUGCCAGUUGUUCUGCCAAGAGCACGGCUGGUUAGCUACGUACGGACAGGAUAAGCGCUGAAGGCAUCUAAGUGCGAAGCCCACCUCGAGAUGAGAUCUCCCACCGGAUCAACCGGGUAAGGACCCUGGUAGAACACCAGGUUGAUAGGCCGGAAGUGUAAGCACAGCAAUGUGUUCAGCGGACCGGUACUAAUAGUCCGAGGGCUUGAUA
rnacentral:rRNA from 1 species